AGUGAACGCUGGCGGUAGGCCUAACACAUGCAAGUCGAACGGCAGCACAGUAAGAGCUUGCUCUUACGGGUGGCGAGUGGCGGACGGGUGAGGAAUACAUCGGAAUCUACUUUUUCGUGGGGGAUAACGUAGGGAAACUUACGCUAAUACCGCAUACGACCUACGGGUGAAAGCAGGGGAUCUUCGGACCUUGCGCGAUUGAAUGAGCCGAUGUCGGAUUAGCUAGUUGGCGGGGUAACGGCCCACCAAGGCGACGAUCCGUAGCUGGUCUGAGAGGAUGAUCAGCCACACUGGAACUGAGACACGGUCCAGACUCCUACGGGAGGCAGCAGUGGGGAAUAUUGGACAAUGGGCGCAAGCCUGAUCCAGCCAUACCGCGUGGGUGAAGAAGGCCCUCGGGUUGUAAAGCCCUUUUGUUGGGAAAGAAAAGCAGCAGGUUAAUACCCCGCUGUUCUGACGGUACCCAAAGAAUAAGCACCGGCUAACUUCGUG
rnacentral:rRNA from 1 species